rnacentral:rRNA from 1 species
UACGUAGGGUGCGAGCGUAAUCGGAAUACUGGGCGUAAAGCGUGCGCAGGCGGUCUGUUAAGACCGAUGUGAAAUCCCCGGGCUUAACCUGGGAACUGCAUUGGUGACUGGCAGGCUUGAGUGUGGCAGAGGGAGGUAGAAUUCCACGUGUAGCAGUGAAAUGCGUAGAUAUGUGGAGGAAUACCGAUGGCGAAGGCAGCCCCCUGGGAUAACACUGACGCUCAUGCACGAAAGCGUGGGGAGCAAACAG